GAUGAAGAACGCAGCGAAAUGCGAUAAGGAAUGUGAAUUGCAGAAUUCAGUGAAUCAUCGAAUCUUUGAACGCACCUUGCACCCUUUGGCAUUCCGAAGGGUAUGCUCGUUUGAGUGUCAUUGUACUCUCACACUUCCGAUCUUUGGAUUGGGAGCGGUGGACUUGGGUGUUGCUGCUUACUGUGGCUCACCUCAAAUCGAUUCGUGCACCUCUUGGUUGGACAUAGUACGGCGUGAUAAGUGUCUUCGCCGGCACCUCGGUAGAGGGUGGCUGAUCGGGAGCUCUGUGCUUCAAACCGUCCUCGGACAACAACUGACAACUUGACCUCAAAUCGAGUAGGACUACCCGCUGAACUUAAGCAUAUCAAUAAGCGGAGGA
rnacentral:misc_RNA from 1 species